GGACGGCCAUGACGUCUCGAAGACUCUCCUUUUAGGACGCAAAGCCAGGUCUUGAUCCCAAUCCAGGAGGCUAUUUCUGUUGGAAGGGUUGUUAUCAGCUGUCGAGAAUUUGAAUAUGAUCGUU
rnacentral:lncRNA from 1 species